GACGACGCUGGCGGCGUGCCUAAUACAUGCAAGUCGAGCGGGGCUGUUUGCUGGAAGCCUUCGGGCGGAAAGCUUGCAGCCUAGCGGCGGACGGGUGAGUAACGCGUGGGUAACCUGUCCUGAAGUACGGGAUAACAGUUCGAAAGGGCUGCUAAUACCGUAUGUGGUCAAGGGGAGUUCGCUUUCUUUGACUAAAGGUGAAAACCGCUUCAGGGUGGGCCCGCGUCCCAUUAGCUAGUUGGUAGGGUAAUGGCCUACCAAGGCGACGAUGGGUAGCCGGCCUGAGAGGGUGACCGGCCACACUGGGACUGAGACACGGCCCAGACUCCUACGGGAGGCAGCAGUAGGGAAUCUUGCGCAAUGGGGGAAACCCUGACGCAGCGACGCCGCGUGAGUGAAGAAGGCCUUCGGGUCGUAAAGCUCUGUCCUCCGGGAAGAUAAUGACGGUACCGGAGGAGGAAGCCCCGGCUAACUACGUG
rnacentral:rRNA from 1 species